rnacentral:misc_RNA from 1 species
AAGUCGUAACAAGGUUUCCGUAGGUGAACCUGCGGAAGGAUCAUUAUCGAGUAUAACGAAGGCGCGUGGAAACACGCCCCUUCGGUACUUCCAACCCUCUGUUGUUAUAACUAUUCGUUGCUUUGGCGGGACCGUUUGGUUCACACCGAGCGCGCCGGUCCUCACGGACAGGCGAGCGCCCGCCGGAGUCUAACCAAACUCUUGUUUUUAACCAGUCGUCUGAGUAUAAAAUUUUAAUUAAAUUAAAACUUUCAACAACGGAUCUCUUGGUUCUC